AAUAUCAAUGAUGAUAUCUUGGCUCCCUCUACUGAACACUCUGAAGAGGAACGCCAUUGUUACCCAAUUGUGUCUGAGAUGUU
ensembl:snoRNA